rnacentral:rRNA from 1 species
GAUGAACGCUGGCGGCGUGCCUAAUACAUGCAAGUCGAGCGAACAGACGAGGAGCUUGCUCCUCUGACGUUAGCGGCGGACGGGUGAGUAACACGUGGAUAACCUACCUAUAAGACUGGGAUAACUUCGGGAAACCGGAGCUAAUACCGGAUAAUAUAUUGAACCGCAUGGUUCAAUAGUGAAAGACGGUUUUGCUGUCACUUAUAGAUGGAUCCGCGCCGCAUUAGCUAGUUGGUAAGGUAACGGCUUACCAAGGCGACGAUGCGUAGCCGACCUGAGAGGGUGGUCGGCCACACUGGAACUGAGACACGGUCCAGACUCCUACGGGAGGCAGCAGUAGGGAAUCUUCCGCAAUGGGCGAAAGCCUGACGGAGCAACGCCGCGUGAGUGAUGAAGGUCUUCGGAUCGUAAAACUCUGUUAUUAGGGAAGAACAAAUGUGUAAGUAACUAUGCACGUCUUGACGGUACCUAAUCAGAAAGCCACGGCUAACUACGU